rnacentral:rRNA from 1 species
GACGAACGCUGGCGGCGUGCUUAACACAUGCAAGUCGAACGCUGAACCCGCUUCGGUGGGGGAUGAGUGGCGAACGGGUGAGUAACACGUGGGCAACCUGCCCCCGGCUCUGGGAUAACUCCAAGAAAUUGGGGCUAAUACCGGAUGUGACCGCUGGCCGCAUGGUCUGGUGGUGGAAAGGGUUUCCGGCUGGGGAUGGGCCCGCGGCCUAUCAGCUUGUUGGUGGGGUAGUGGCCUACCAAGGCGACGACGGGUAGCCGGCCUGAGAGGGUGACCGGCCACACUGGGACUGAGACACGGCCCAGACUCCUACGGGAGGCAGCAGUGGGGAAUAUUGCGCAAUGGGCGGAAGCCUGACGCAGCGACGCCGCGUGGGGGAUGACGGCCUUCGGGUUGUAAACCUCUUUCAGCAGGGACGAAGCGCAAGUGACGGUACCUGCAGAAGGAGCACCGGCCAACUACGUG